rnacentral:misc_RNA from 1 species
ACAGCGCGGCAGCGAGCGAUAGUCGCUAGUCAGUAGUCACUAGUCACGUCACUCACGUCAGUAGUGUCGACAUGGAGGAGGCGGGCUUGUCGAGUGAGCGGAUCGCUUCACCACCCUGGAACAGCCUCCUUCCUGACGUGCUCUCCGUCCUGGUGUACCUGCAGGACGCUGACGGGGGUGUGCAGGCGGUGAUGUGCUGCGAGGGCGGCACGGUGAGGCUGCCCAGGAGGACGAUAGGCCAUGACUAUAACGCCGGCACGUCAGCCCAGUCAAGGGACACUCCACUCCCCCAGCUGGCCCAGAGCAUUGCAGCGGCGGCGGCGGGCAUUCCCCCACCACCACGCUGGACCCCUCAACUCCUCCAGCUGAGCAAGGUGUUUGAUCCUGUCAUGAAGCGACACUAUCACCACUAUGUGUUUGCCUUCCCUGUUGACGCUGCCACCUGGAGCAAGGUGGAGGAUAAUUCAGUGAGGCAGAAGGUGAGCCUGGAAAAGCUGAAGACAAGCCAUGUGGAGAGGAGAGAGGUCGUGUGGCUGGUGGAGCGCAUUGCUAGGCGGGUGGUGGGUGCCCACAUGAAAGAGGUGAGUGCAAGUCAGCUGUGGCAGGAGAUGGACCAAGCACAGAGUGAGGAGGAGCUGCUGAGGUCUUCGGGUUUCAAGGAACAAGAUCUGGAGCUUAUUUCUGGGGCAUUUGUGAGGUGCAGUUACCCCUACACCACUGUCUGCCUGGGGGACGUCAAGCAGCUCCUGGGAGACCUCGGCUGGCAAAACAGGGAGGAGGACAUCUUUAGGGCACUGGACAGACAGAGAACUGGUGAGCUCUCUCAUGUGGAUUUUGUGCAUGGGUUAGUGGCAAUGGACCCAAUGACACCACACGGCAAGCGUCCCGGUGAAAUCAGGUCUUGGUACAUCUUCAGGUACUAUGACCAGGACAGCAACAGUGUGUUGGAGAAGGAGGACAUCCACAACUUGGUGACAGACUUAGCAAAGCUGCAGGGACAGGACAGCUCUGCACUGGCCAUCACUGAGAGGACCAAGGCAGCACUGGAAGUAUUUGCAGCCUCAGAUGACAGCUGUGUGGUUCCCGAGGGCUUUCUGAGUGCUAUUGGUACCCUACAGUUUCGAGGAACUUCACUACUCUUCAGAGCCUCCACCGCCAUCAUUCCCUACAUGGUGUGCAAGUUUGGAGUGGUCAGUCCCCGUCGCAAGAGCCCCCUGAAAGACUCUCCCAAGGGUCACGGUUCUACAAGGGGGUUGAAGAGGAUCAAACGCGACUGUAGCACCUCCCCACCCACCCACCACACCGGCUCACCCAAGAACUGCAUGGAGGAGAAGAGCUGUCAGAUGGAGGUGGACACCAACUCCCAAGCCUCCAUUCCGCUGAGUGAUGGAGCGUUCCAAAGCCCAGGCAACCGUCGGUACACCCUCGCUCAGCACACUGUGAAGGUGCGACGCUCUGGACAGAUCAUUGACACACAGCUGCUGCUCGACAUGGAACGUGCUGGAGAGGUAUCAGACACAGGCUUUGACGUGGAGAAGACGAAUGAGGCGUCCGUAUUGACCACAGCGCUAGUGUCUGCAGAGAAGCCAGCCAGGCAUUUUGAUAGGUACCUCUCAGUUGACGCCUUCAAUACCAGAUCCCUUCCCAACGAGAUGGUGGCUGCCCUGCGUUUCUUUGAGCACAACAAGAAGGAUAAGCCGGCAUUGCACUGGGGAGAGGUGGACUUGGUGAAACUUGGCCAGUACAUCAUCUCCCUGUGUGCUGCCAUUCGCUGCAUCUUUGAGGGUGAGCCACGCAUGCUGGUGCUCUCCUCUCCCUGCUACAUACUGGGAGAUCUUCACGGGAACUACCGAGACCUGAUCUGCUUUGAGAAGGCACUGUGGAGGAUUGGGCCGCACCUCACACCCUCCAACUUCCUGUUCCUUGGUGACUAUGUGGACCGUGGGGAGUAUGGCAUAGAGGUGGUGGCAUACCUCUUUGCCCAGAAGCUCCAGGCCCCCACUAAGUUCUUCAUGCUGCGAGGAAACCAUGAAGUGCGUGACAUACAGAAACAAUUCACCUUCUACAAGUGUUCUGCAUACAUGGCGGCAUUCCCAACAUUCCUGGCAACCUGAGUGAGAUGGAGAAGAUUCCCUGUCCACUGAGUAACCCCGAGGUGGAAAGUGAUGUGGCGUGGCAGGUCAUGUGGAACGAUCCCAUUGCGCCGGGUGACAUUACUGAGAGUGUCAUUGAGGAAUUGU